UACAGGGGUNUCACCAGUAUCACUAACUG
rnacentral:piRNA from 1 species